rnacentral:rRNA from 1 species
UACGUAGGGUGCAAGCGUUAAUCGGAAUUACUGGGCGUAAAGCGUGCGCAGGCGGUUUUGUAAGUCAGAUGUGAAAUCCCCGGGCUUAACCUGGGAACUGCGUUUGAAACUACAAGGCUAGAGUGUGACAGAGGGGGGUGGAAUUCCACGUGUAGCAGUGAAAUGCGUAGAGAUGUGGAGGAACACCGAUGGCGAAGGCAGCCCCCUGGGUUAACACUGACGCUGAAGCACGAAAGCGUGGGGAGCAAACAGG